AUCUUUUGUCCGCGAACACCAACCAGAGCGUUUUUUCUCAUUAACGUUACAUCUUACUGGUUGAAAGUACGACUGUCCUAUUUGGACUACAACCAACCAUAGCUUUUCGUCUAGCUCAUGUAAAUACAGUAUGGAUGCUUCAGCAGAUGCUUCAACAGUUGAAGAGCAAUCAGCUUUAGCGCAAGGAACUGAUGGAGAUGCUGAAACACUAGAAAUACCAGUUAUAGAGGGUGGUGAUCAUGGUAGUGAUGGAGCUGCAGCUUUAGCAAUGUCUAAUGAUUAUAGUCUUUAUGUGCAAGAAGGUAUGUAA